rnacentral:lncRNA from 1 species
GGGGAAAUAUAGGUUUCUAUGGCUCAAAGCAUUUAGAACCAUUGAUGAUCCAGCCGGGAAACUGAGGUCCAGGGAGUCACGCAGCAAGCCCCACGCAAGGUCCGGUUGGAAAGGGUGGAAUGGCAUCGAGGGAGUCUCUGUGGAGCCAAGUGGCCAAGGCCUGAGGAGCGAUUGAAAAGAUUGUGAUGAUUUGGAGCUGUAUAUACCCCAGGAAAAUGUGUUUUAAGACUUAGUCCAUUCCUGUGAGUGUGAAUGCAUUGUAAGUAAGAUUUUUUUACGAGGUUACUUCAGUUAAGAUAUGGCCCACC